rnacentral:rRNA from 1 species
UACGUAGGGUGCAAGCGUUGUCCGGAUUUAUUGGGUUUAAAGGGUGCGUAGGCGGCCCUCUAAGUCAGUGGUGAAAUACUGCAGCUUAACUGUAGCAUUGCCAUUGAUACUGGAGGGCUUGAGUACAGAUGAGGUAGGCGGAAUUUAUGGUGUAGCGGUGAAAUGCAUAGAUACCAUAAAGAACACCUAUUGCGAAGGCAGCUUACUAAGCUGUAACUGACGCUGAGGCACGAAAGCGUGGGGAGCGAACAGG